GUAAAUCUCUGUUCAAGGCUCUCAACUCUGAAGGCUGUGAGACCCCUGAUUUCCCACUCUACAUCCUAUAUUUCUGUGCGUGUGUCUUUAAUUCCUCUAGUGCCGCUGGGUUAGGGUCUCCACAACCGAGCUGGUCUCAGCAAGUGGCGCCCACACAUGGGGGCUCGAAUCCAGGUCGAAGGGUCACCGGAGCGACAGAAAACUUGGAACUAAGCUGGAGGACACCGAGUACUCUUAUGCAGUCCCCAUGGACUGAACCAUCAAGACACCUGAAACCUUAUCAUGAGCGAAUGCUGAGGAAGAGAUUCCGGGAGGAUCCCGAGGACCCCCCCAGUUGCAGCCAUGUCAAGACUGAUGCUGAGGAGGACCCCAACUGUCACGAGCAACACCCGUCAAACACAGCCAUCCACCUGAGGUCAGAUCAAGAAGCUGUCACAGAUGGCAGAAGAAAACCUGAGGUAAGUGGGACAACCAGUCAAAAUGAGUAAUUUAAUGGUAGCUAUGAUAGUGGUGAUCACCAUUGCCAUGAGUAUUCCUUCAACAAGGGCUGACACAGAGAACAAUUAUACUUACUGGGCAUAUUUAUCAAUCUUGGCUGGCAAGAAUGCCUGGAUGUAAUCACUCUAUGACACAGUUACACAUGCUUUCUGAUCUCAGUAUUUACCAUGAUAAAUCUGCUCCUAUAAUUGAGGCAUACCGCCCUCAAAAACCUAUCUGUAAACAGGAUUGGACCCAGUCAGAGAAAAUGAACGUACAUGUUUGGGAAGAUUGCAUUGCAGAACAGGCAGGGGUGCUGGCAACGAUUCCUAUGGAAUCAUUAUUGAUUGAUCCCCUACGGGGAUGUUUAGCUUGAAUUGCACCUCUCAGUCUGUGUGCCACGGCCCCACUAUGUUCAGCUGGUCUGAACAAAAUGGUCAGAUGGUAGAAAUGAUAAGAAAUACGGC
rnacentral:lncRNA from 10 species